rnacentral:rRNA from 1 species
CAUUAAAGAGUUAAAACAACUCCUAAACCCAUGUGAACCUACCUUUGUUGCCUCGGCAGGUCUGCAUCUUACCCUGAGGGGACCUACCCUGUAGGGACCUUACCCGGUAGUUGCGGGCAUAACCUGCCGGUGGUCUACUAAACUCUGUUUACUAUGUUAUUCUGAAUAAUUUAACUAAAUAAGUUAAAACUUUCAACAACGGAUCUCUUGGUUCUGGCAUCGAUGAAGAACGCAGCGAAAUGCGAUAAGUAAUGUGAAUUGCAGAAUUCAGUGAAUCAUCGAAUCUUUGAACGCACAUUGCGCCCAUUAGUAUUCUAGUGGGCAUGCCUGUUCGAGCGUCAUUUCAACCCUUAAGCCCUGUUGCUUAGCGUUGGGAGCCUACAGAUACCCUCUGUAGUUCCUUAAAGUUAGUGGCGGAGUCGGUUUCACACUCUAGACGUAGUAAAUUUUAUCUCGCCUAUAGAUGAGCCGGUCCCUUGCCGUAAAACCCCCUAAUUUCUAAAGGUUGACCUCGGAUCAGGUAGGAAUACCCGCUGAACUUAAGCAUAUCAAUAAGCGGAGGAAAAGAAACCAACAGGGAUUGCCCUAGUAACGGCGAGUGAAGCGGCAACAGCUCAAAUUUGAAAUCUGGCCUUCGGGUCCGAGUUGUAAUUUGUAGAGGAUGCUUUUGGCGCGGUGCCUUCCGAGUUCCCUGGAACGGGACGCCUUAGAGGGUGAGAGCCCCGUACGGNUGGACACCAAGCCUCUGUAAAGCUCCUUCGACGANUCGAGUAGUUUGGGAAUGCUGCUCUAAAUGGG